CAGCCGCCGCGGGAAUACGUAGGUGGCAAGCGUUGUCCGGAAUUAUUGGGCGUAAAGCGCGCGCAGGUGGUUUAAUAAGUCUGAUGUGAAAGCCCACGGCUCAACCGUGGAGGGUCAUUGGAAACUGUUAAACUUGAGUGCAGGAGAGAAAAGUGGAAUUCCUAGUGUAGCGGUGAAAUGCGUAGAGAUUAGGAGGAACACCAGUGGCGAAGGCGGCUUUUUGGCCUGUAACUGACACUGAGGCGCGAAAGCGUGGGGAGCAAACAGGAUUAGAGACCCGUGUAGUCCCUGUCUCUUAUAC
rnacentral:rRNA from 1 species